rnacentral:rRNA from 1 species
UACGAAGGGUGCAAGCGUUAAUCGGAAUUACUGGGCGUAAAGGGUGCGUAGGCGGUUCGUUAAGUCUGUCGUGAAAUCCCCGGGCUCAACCUGGGAAUGGCGAUGGAUACUGGCGAGCUAGAGUGUGUCAGAGGAUGGUGGAAUUCCCGAUGUAGCGGUGAAAUGCGUAGAGAUCGGGAGGAACAUCAGUGGCGAAGGCGGCCAUCUGGGACAACACUGACGCUGAAGCACGAAAGCGUGGGGAGCAAACAGG